GGCCAGUUUGCUCAGUGGGUAGAGCGUUGGCCUGCGGAUCAAAGGAUUCUGGGUUGGAUUCCCGGUCAGGCUC
rnacentral:tRNA from 1 species